AUAAAGAGGACUCAAUUCGCUGUCAUCUCUUUUCUCUGUUCCUUCUUGCAAUCACUGGUGGUACAAGCAAAGUGUCCAUUAUGUGAUCUGUAUAGAAUUAGAUUAACUGUAUGCAUUCAAGUACAUGUCUGCACAGCCAGAAGAUACUGGAUUAUUAAUCCCCAAGGAUUUAACAGAAAUUUGGAGUGCUUCUGACCCCUGGCAACCCAGUGCAAAGUGCACCCAGCAAUCAAUAUUGAGAAAGAGGUCUCAUCCAUAUUCCUUCAGGACCGAUGGUAUUUUAUGCUCAAGAAUGGAGCACAACACCUCCAGCAUUUGAAAGAAGGCUAAAAGAAAGGUGAGAUUUGUGAUUCGCAGCAUGUCUUCCUUUCAGUAAGACAAAUACAUCAGCAAAGCUUGUGAAUUUCUCUGUGUGUCUCUGUAGUUUUACACCAUCACCAGAAUGAGGAAUUCAUGAAUCAUUGCUA